GUCUGAUCCUUUGGGAUGCCUUAAAACAAUGGGUUGCAGACUAUGUCAAUUACUACUACAAGGAUGCGAGCAUGGUACAGUCUGAUCCAGAGCUCCAAGCAUGGUGGACGGAAAUCCGAACCAAAGGUCAUGAGGAUAAAAAAGAUGAACCAUGGUGGCCAAACCUCCAAACACCCGACGACCUCAUUGGAAUUAUCACAACAAUAACUUGGGUAACCUCUGGUCACCAUUCCGCAGUCAACUUUGGACAAUAUGCUUUUGCUGGUUACUUCCCCAAUAGGCCUUCCAUUGCUAGAACCAAUAUGCCCUGUGAAGAACCAACAGAAGAAGGAUGGCAACGAUUUUUGGACAAUCCCAAUUCUGAACUCUUGGCAUGCUUCCCUUCAAAGCUACAGGCAACAAGGAUUAUGGCCACUUUAGAUCUGUUGUCAGAGCAUUCCUCAGAUGAGGAGUACAUAGGAAAGGAUAGGAAGCUAACAUGGGAUGAAGAACCGGUUAUAAAGGAAGCAUUUAACCGGUUUUCUGCAAAGUUAGAGGAGUUGGAAAGAACUAUUGAUGAUAGGAAUAAAGACAACAGUUUGAAGAACAGAAACGGAGCUGGGGUGGUUCCAUAUGAGCUCUUGAAGGGAGUUCCAUACAGCAUCUCCAUUUGAAGCUAUAAUAUGUAGAUGUAGCUUUGGGAGUGAAGUUUCAAAUCCAUUGUAUGGUAGAGAUAAUAACUGACGUAACAUCCAUGAGACAUUGGACUGAUAGUAAGUAUUGAAUAAGUGCAAUGGAAUCUAUUGACACGGAGUCAACAAUAAUUUCAUCUUCAAACGGAUUUAAGAAAAGCCUCUAGUCAUACCUGCCCAUUCAUCUCUAGAUAAGGUGAAUGUAAGUGAAUCAGAUCUGGGCUGAAUGCAGGUUCCUCUUUAACCAACAGUGGUAGCGGCAGCCAAUCUGUCACUGUUAGGCUUCAGUACUGGAAAUCUCCUAGCAUGGUGGAAAAGAUUACGAGAUGAAUCGUGGAAAUGAUUAUAAUUAAAAAAAAAUGGUCAUAUAGUAAAAGUAAAAAAGAAAAAAAUGAAAAGAAGGUUUUAUACCUUUAAAUUUGGCAAUGCUUCCAUUUCUUUAUAUUUAGGUUAAAAAAUAAGGGAAAAAAUUCGAUCCUAUUUGUUUAUAUCUAUUUUUUUUCUUUUUAUACCUUUAUUGAAUAGUUUGACUGUACAGAUACCUUAUUAGUUUAAAGCUCACUAUAAUUCAUCUAAUAAUUUUUUUUUCUUUUGCAUAAGUUUGAUUUUUUAUUUUUUAUUUUAUUUUUUUAAGUUCUUGUAGGUCAGAAGUAAUAUGCAAUUUAGGCUCAUACUUUGAGGAACAUCGCUGCUUUUCGAACUUCUGUUGUAUUGAACAGUUGAAGUGUAUCCAUAGACUUUACCUUGUUUGUUGUUUGAACAUUUGUAGUGACUCCUUAUUUGAAUGAACUAGACUCUAACCAAUGAUGAAAAUAUCGUGAUAUAUCGUUGAUUUUUCAUUAAAAUAUCACUUAUUAGAAGGCCCCAACACAAUACAUGCCACAGAUAUUUCAAUCACUAGAUUUUUUUGGUUCUAUUUCGCAUUUUCCUCCAAUAUAUUGGUGAUAUUCCGAUAUUUUAGUGACAAUAUUAUGAUAUUUUAGCAACAUUUUGACUUUAUUGUAAAAAAUUUGGUGAUUUAUCGAUGUCACAUAUAAGUUGACAUGAAGAUCCAACCUGAAACUUAGUCUUGUUGAGGAAUUGCAAGGCCCUCACCAAUAGGCUACUCAUCCUUAUAUUUCAUGAGUUGCAUACAAAUAUAUAUAUAUAUAUAUAUGUAUAAUUAUAAUAAAUAAGUUAGCUUUAUUUAUAAUAAUUAACUAAAAGACAAAAAUAAAUUUAUAAAUAAAAUUAUUAAUAUUUUUAAAUAAAAAACUUAUAUAUAUAUAUAUAUAUAUAUAUAUAUAUAUAUAUAUAUAUUUCUUUUACAUUCUUUAAUAUAUCCAAAAUAAAUACAUUAUGUCCUUCAAUAUAUAUCAAUUUCUUUACUAAAAUAAUUUUAAUGUGUAUUAUUAUUUUUCAAUCAUUUUUUGAGUUUUUCCCUACAUUUUUAAGUUUUUUAUUUUUUAUUUAAUUUUUUUUAUCAAUUUCCACCCACCAAUAUUUUAUGUCAAAAUAUCUACCGAUAUUUUACGAUAUAUUUCGAUAUAUCUGUAAAAUCAAGUUAUCGUCAAAACCGAUAUUUUCAUCCUUGACUCCAACUUAAGAGUAGUUUUUAUCUCUUUUUGCUUAAUUGAAGGAGAUUUUAUUUUUCCUGUUUUUAAAGCAUAAUAGAGUGUCGAGGUUUGAAAAUAAUGUAGUUAAAUGUGAUGUCACAUUCUCUUUAUCCUCAUUUGUGAUGUUUUUGCUCCAAUAGUGUCAUCUUUUAGUUCUUUAAUAGACAUGUUUUCACUUACAUUUGUUUUUAUAACAAACUCUAUGUCUUGUGCUCGUGUAGCCAACUCUUCGAAAGUGUAGGGUCAUAUCCCUUAGAGGAUGUACAGAAGACCCCAAUGUAUAUCUUGUAUGUACAUCUCCACCGUAGACACCUCGAAUAAUCUAUCUUUGUAGUAAAGGCUUAAGGAAUGCCAAUGAUUGAUGUAGUUAACAAUCGACUCGUCUUUCCAUUGCUUAGUAUUGAUAAGCUCUAUCAUGCUCAUAGUUUAUUGGGUGCUAUAGAAGCAGUUAAGUAAUUCGCAUUCCAUUUGGUCCUAACUAUCAAUGCACUCGAGUGUAAGGUUGAUGUACCAAUCAAAGACAUUCCCUUCGAGAGAUCAAACAAAUUGUUUAACCAUGAUGUCACCCUCUAUACAUGUAUUGUUGCAAGUUUUGAUGAAAUGGACAACAUGUUGCUUCAAAUUUCCUUUUCCAUCAAAUGACUGAAACUUUGAAGGUUCAUAACCCAUAAGCAUAUGUAGGUUAUCAAUCAUCUUGGUGUAAGGCUUAGACUACAUGAGUGUGAGGAUUUGUCAUAUUGCACUUUAAUGAUGUUAGUUAUCCUAUCCUAAAAUUGUUAGACAAAUCACAAUGCCACCGAGGCAAAUUCAAUGGUUUGCCCUCUGAUUUGCACCAACUUAAACUUAUCUAGUGCAUCACCUAGAGACACAAUCUUCAGAGAGUAAGUCCUUGGUUUGACUCAAUCGUAUUUUGUAUCUAUACAUUGACCUUAUUCAUGAAAUGAGAUAUUUGUAAAUAUUUCUCCUCUACGGUUUUGGUGAGUUUGACGAUGACAUGAGCCAUCUUAGCUAACUAUUCUUCUACAAAUGUAGUGCCUAUUAUCAUUACCGACAUAGUCAUCGAUAAGGAAGAAGUAAAAGAGUUGAAAUGCUUUGAGGAGUUGUCUUUCUUUGAUAUCCUAGCUUGUGAUCCAAAAUGUGAGCUAGUGUUGGAGUUGGCAUCAACAAUAAAUUAAGGGGACUUAUUCCCAUAGUCCUUUAGUGUUGAAGGGCAUUUUUCCUAAUUAUGAGGACUUUGAUCAUUUGCCCUCAAAUAGGUUAAGGUGAAGAGUGGUUGGUGACUGUCGCGUGUUCCCAAUGAUUUUGUUAAAUGAGUAUGCUCACUUACUAGCUUUGUCGAAAGUGUAGUCGUUUUUUGCUUUGCUACAAGUCAUGAGACCCUGUUGACUAAGUAAUGGCAAUUUUGUCAUCACCCUUAUUGACAUGUGUAGCUUGAGUUUUUUUAAAUGUCAUCAUCUUAGUGCUGGUCACUUUCUUAAUGGAAUAGAUGAGAGACAAAGAUGUCCCACAUGGCGUAUCAAAAAUUUGUACAAACAAAUUUUGUGAAGUCCUGUAAUGUAAGCAAAACAAUAGAAAAAUAUGCAAAGUAUUUUUUUUAAUUAAAAUUAAUUAUUGGGAUACAAUCUUUAUGGUAAUAUUUUUUAUAAAAGAAUAUUUCCCUCUGAUUCAUUCACCUUGAUCACAAUUUGAAAGACGAUGAUGAAAAUAUUUUUUUUAAUUUUAAAGAUCAAUCAAGGGCCACAAGUGGCUUGUUCCCGAAUGAACUCCUUGAAGGACGAAAAUUGCAUUUGUAGCACUUCUACUAUUUCUCAGACUUACAGGGGGAUUUUGUGAAGACUUUUCUUCUUUGUGAAGAUUCUUUUGCCAUGUAAAAUUGUCUUUUCAAUUCGAAGAAGUCUCCUCCAUUGAAGGAAGUCACAUUAUUUAUAGGUAAAACUAAGGAAUUAAAUUCGGAAUCCCUAAGAUUUAGUUGCUUAAUUUAAAGAAUUUGGUUGCUUGGUUUUAGCAACUUAUCUUCUUCAUUAAGAAAAGUUGCUAGAAUAUUUAUUUUUAAUUUUAUUUUGAUUUCAAUUGGAAGAUUUGUUUCCUUUAGAAAUUUAACAAUGAUAAAAUAUUUAUUUUUUAAUUCUUUUUUUACUUCAACUGAAAGAUUUGAUUUUGUUUGCAAGAUUAAAUUUCGUAACUCUCCAAAUUUCACUACGUGUCAUCUUUUGAAUAUAUGUCACAUGUCAAAUGUGUGUGAUCCAUCACUUGUCAAGUUCAAAUUUUGUUGAAUUGGAAGUUACAAUUUUAAAGACCAGUUUAGUGAUAAUUUAAUUCACUAAAAAAAAUUGAUGUUUACAACCAUAUCUCUGAGGAUGACUCUUUGGGCUAUGCUAACAAAUGCCUUGUGAUAGUCUUCAUCUAACACAUGUAGUUGUUAUUGUUUACUAAAUUUUUCCAAGAUUCUUUUAUUGAGAUGCUUUAUCACAAAACCAAUAUACUAGAUGAGAACUCAAAGAUGCAUACAUCCUCAUUUGGUAAUUAUCCAAUUGGUAACAAAUUCCUUUUUAGAUUAGAAAAGACAAGCAUAUUUUUUAAUUUCAAAUUGCAAUGCUUAGUAUCUAAAUAGCUAUCACCAAUAUGAGAAAUAUUUAAAUAGCAGCUAUUACCAACAUAAAUAUUGUCUCAUUCCUUCUAAGGUUGUACAUUGCAAAUUUUAAUUAGGUUAUCAAUCAUGUGUGUAAUUGUAUCCAAGUCUAUGUAGAACUUUGAGUUUGAUCUUCAUUUAAACCAAGAUCGGAAAGUGCUUGCAAGUGAGGCAUCCUUAGCUUGAUAAGCAUAAUCGAACCUAUGUCAACAUCUUAUACCACUUUGAUUAGCUUUUCUACAAAUUUAACAAAUUAGUUUACAUUUACUUUUUUGCAUGAUUUGCCACAAUAGAUUGUAUUUCCACUUUCAUUAGGCAUAUGAUCCAUAUUAUUAGGGUUGUUUUUUCGAACUUUUGCUCUUUGUAAGUGUGCACUCUUACCCUUGUGAACUAACACCAUCUCCUCAUCCUCCUCCUCUGCCUUGAUUAUGUUGAUUCAGAAAGACUUGAUUAUGAUUCAUCUUACUUUUAUUUUCUUCAUUCUAAAUUACAUGAAAAUGAAUGUGGCUCUACAAAACUAUGAAGAAUUAUCUAAAUAAUAGAUAAGGUGGUUUUGCAAGGCUGGCUACUUGAAAAUCAAUGUUCUUUAACUCAAGUCCUCUUGUAAAAUGCAAAAACCUAGUGAAGAUUAGAUAAUGGUUGGAUGGUGGUUGCCUAACUAUCCUAGAUCCGUUCAAAUCCUCAUUGAUAAAAGAAAUUUUUUGUCUACGCUUAGAUAUGAUGAAACUAUCUAGGAAAAGGUAAAUAGGUAGUCCCUAAGUUAAUCCCCAAAUUAAAUUUUUUACUAUCUACUUUAUGUUUAUCCUUUUAUAUUAAUAUCAAAAGUGUUAAUAUUUAAAAGUGAGUCUACCAUCCUAUGUCUCUUCUUGAAACCAAAUGUCAUUAAUCAUGCUUUUCAAGUUUAAAAUUUUUAUUGAGGGCUCAAAUAAAUUCACACUUCUAAACUUUCACAUUGUUUUCUUUUCAUUAGUUACCCUGAGUAUAACGUAUAUAAUCUCAACAUAAUAAAAGGCUUAAUAUAUAAGUAAGACUACCUUAUGUUUUGAGAAUAGAUAUGGUGUAACUUGGUACUUCUAUAUUAAAAUGAUCAUUGAUAGAACUUAACUUGAAAAUAUUUCUAACAUUCCUAAAAUUGAUGGAUCUUAUGAAAGAAAAUGUUGUAUAGUUACAUUAUUAAGCUAUCAUUUAAUUAUUGAAAAAACUUACUUGACCAUCAAUGUAUAUAAAAUACUUACCUAAAUAAUUACUUAGCUCAUCUAGAAUUGAGCUAGAACUUGGUUGAAACUGUUAAGAUUAAAGACAAUAAAUUAUGUCAAACUAGUGCAUAACCAAGGUAUUAUAACUCUAUUCUAAAGUAUCAAUAAUUUUAUUUAGAAACUCAAUUAUGAAUAACAAUUUUCCAGCCGUUUUAUGGUUUAGGGUAAGAUGACAUGAAAAACAAUUGAAAUUUAUUUUUAAAAUGACCAUAUUCUCCAUGUCUUCUCUACUCUUAGAAUGGUUCAAAUAAAUAAGUAAAAACAUCUAAAUUUACUCUCAAAAAAUCUUCUCUAAGAUACCAAAUUCUCCAAAAAUCUAAAUUUAGCUUAAAAAAAAUUGACAAACAUAUUUUUUAAGUUGGAAAAUAAAUUUUUAUUUUUUAUUUUAAAAAAAGAUAAAAUCAUUUUAAAAAAUUUGUUUUGUGAAACAUAUUUUUUAAAUUGAAAUUUAGCAUUUUCUUUUUCAUUUUCUAACCAUUCAAGCCUCAUAAUGCCAAUUUGAUACAAAGAUGAAAUUUCAAACAUCUAAAGGAUGGAAAGGAUAUUGGGGGAAAUUCAAUCACAUAUAUACCCAAGUACAAAAAUUGUCAAAAGUGGCCCUAUAAUAGCAAUGAGUGUAGUUACAUUAUCAGUGUGAUGGAGCAUCAAUUUUGGAAUGAUGUGAUGCCCACAUUCGUACUUGGGGUGCCAUCAACUGAUACAUCUAUUUCACAAUGAAUUCUCUCCCUCUUUCUUCCCCACUUCAAUAAAUUUUGGAUCCUUGAGAAGUUGGAUCGUGAAUUGUUAACUCAAGGUUAGCAUGACAACAUUUCUAGAAUUUAUUAACUUCUUUUUCGAACAUAGAAAUUAUAUAUAUAUAUAUAUAUAUAAUGAAUUUUUUCAUCUAAUUUAUUGUAGAUAAUAGCAUAUAAUAAAGUUUUAGAUUUUAAAAUUUAUAACUUUUCUUAUUCUUUAAGAAAAAAGAAAAUAUAUAAAUUUGAAUAAUGUAGAAAAUAUUUUUGAAUUUAAAUAUGAUUUAUUUAUUUAUUUUUAAUCUUUGACUUUUUAAUUUUUCAUGUCAUAGUCUUUUAAGUGUUGACUGAUAUAAUCUUGAAAAGGAAACAAAGACAAGAACAAUAAUCUCGAAAAGGAAAUAACAAUAAAAACAACAAAUGGUAGAAGAAACAAUCAUUUGGGGUACUCUUAUGAUGAGAAGAUAACAAAUUUUGAUAUAAAACUAUAUAAAUAUUUUUUCAAAAACUAAGCCUUGUGAUGAGUAAAAAGGUUUAUCUUAAAAUAUAUAAGAUGUUGAUAACAUCUAAUCAUAUACUUUGCAUUAUAUAAAGAGUGUCAAUAUUUAAAAGUGAGUCUACCAUAGUAUAUCUCUUCUUGAAACCAAAUGUUAUAAAUGAAGCUUUUCUAGUUUUAUUUUAUUUUAUUUAUUUAUUUGUGGAUUCAAACAAAUACACUUUUGUAAACUCUCAUAUUGUUUUUUUUUUCAUUAAUUACUAUGAGUAUAGCAUAUAUAAUCUUGGCAUAAUGGAAAUCUCAAGUAUACAAGUGAGACAAUUUGAAAAUAGAUACUAUAUGACUUUGUACUUUUAUAUUAAAAUGAUCAUUACUAGAACUUAAUUUGAAAUUAUUCUAAUAUUUCUAAAAUUGGUAGAUCUUAACAAAGAAAAUGUUGCAUAGUUACAUUAUUAAGUUAUCAUUUAACAAAAAAUCUAUAAAGUACUUGGACUAAACCCAUUUAUAAAAUAUCAUUGAAGUUUAUGACCAAGGACCUCCCCUAAAAGUACCGAUCUCCUUAACACCCUUUUGACAUGUAUUGCGGAUUAGCAAAAAGCAAAAAGGGUAAUGAGUUUUCUUAACAUGAAAGAUACAAAAAUUAUCUAGCAUAAGUUCAUUUGCUUGAAGUUAAUAAUUUUGGUGUGAUUCAAAAUAAGUAGUAGGUGAGAUUAAUAUAUCUACGAAGCAUGAAAGUAUAACUAAAGCAAAAUAAUUUUAUUACAAUUUUUAAAAAAGUAAAUAAAAUUUUUAAUUACAACUUUUAUUCUUUAUUUUCAUAACAUGUAAUGAUUAGACAUCAUAAAAUUUUAAAUUUUAUUAUUAUUCAAAUAAUAGAAAAUUGCAAUUAAAUAGUCACAUUUGACUUAAAUAUAAAACUAAAUUAAAUAGUAAAAUUGAUGGAAGAAUUAAUCAAACAUUCAAGCACGUAGUCUGAAAAUGCAUCUUUAUUUCAAUGUAAGACAAAAGCCACAUGUCUUAUUGAAAUAUCGUCUUAUUUUGUUUUCUCAUACGAUAGACCUAACACCAAAAAUUAAAAGCAUGAUAACCCAUGGAGUAGACAUGGUUUCUUUUGGAUUAUGCUUGUAUGUGUUGGAAGAGAAUGAGAGUGAGUACAAAAUAUACUGCGUCCCUCACCAUAUGAAUUCCCCUUUAUUGAGGGAAUUCAUAAGAGAUUGACUUCCCUUUUAUUGAGGGAAUUCAUAACAGAUUGACACCUGUGAGGGGCAUCCAUUUACCCUAAUAUCAUUAAAGUGGACCUACUUUAUCCUAACAACAUCUCAUUUAUGAGUGUGUCCUACUAUUUACGUAUUAGUUGACUUAGCUCUAUUUCUAUCUAUCUAUAUAUAUACUAAGGUCCAAAAUACAAAAGCAAGUAAAAGCAACUUAAAUAAUAAAUUAUCUUAUUUUGAUAAUAAAUUCUUGUAAUAUUAUUUUUUUUACUAGAAAAAGGUCUAAUGUAUUUUUAUAGGAUUAUGGAAUAAAAGAAAAAAUGAAAAUUGUUUUCUAAAAAUAUUACAUUCAACUUUGAUUUCAAACAAACACACGUAUAAACGCAACAUAUAGGAAAAAAGUUAAGAAAUUGGCUAAAAACCAAUGUUUUCAGAAUUGGACCGAUUAUUGAAUCAGAAAAGUUAUCGGUUCACGGUUUAUUGAUUGGAUCGGUGAUCGAACCGCGAUCGAAUCGGUAAUGUCAUAAAUAUAUAUUUUAUUAUUUUAUAUAUUAUUAAAAAUAAAAAAAUUUAAUAAAUUCUAUCUAAAGUUGAAAUCAUGGAUUUUGUUUUGACAAUUAACAAAUAACUUUUAAACUUUAUUUCAUAAUAUAAAAUUUUCUAAAUGAGUUAAAUUAUGAAACCAUUAAAACAAUAAAAACCAACAAUACCAUAAAUGGUCAGACAUUACCCUUUUCACAGGAUCUGGUCCUCAAUCACAACUAAGGGUCUUCAAAAAGCCCGCGGCCUGCUUUAGGCCCAGCUCGGCCCGACAUGCUAAAGCCCGACCCGUAGGCCCGCCCCUUUAAUUUUUUUUUUAAAAUAAUAUACUUUAUUUUUAUAUAUAUAUAACUAACUCAAUUAAUAAGCAUAAAAAGAAUGUAAUUCAGUUGAUUAGAACCUUAAAAUUUAAGCAUGAGGGGAGGGGUUCGAAUCCCCCCCUCUCCUUUCCUUUUUUUGAAAGCCAUUAAGGCUUAUUUCAAAAAGCCCGUGGCCCGACCCGCCCCCCAGUUCGCUAGCCCGCGGGCCUAGCAUUUUAGCAUGGCCCGGCCCGUUGACCAGUUAACGGGCCCAUAGGCCCUACCUGAGCUGGGCCGCGGGCCUCCUAUUUACGGCCCGGCCCGCCCGUUAGAGACCCCUAAUCACAGCUCCCACAGUGUGCAUUGCUAAUGGGAGGCCAUCACACUGCACUAUAACCUUAUCCUUCAAUUUCAACCUAUAUUUUUUAAGUGCAUCUGAUUUUCCUUUGAAUUGCCACAUGUGAUCCAUGGAUGUUAAUGGAGGCUGCAUGAGAUACAAAUUGUGAGGGCCCACCAUCAUUCUUGCUUUGGGGGAGUCGGCUUGUGAUGAUGACCACCAUCACCACUUACAGACUUCAGCUUUUCCUUUAACUUGAAAUACCAGUCGAUGUUGAUGCCCCAGGUGCCAUCCAACACCAUCAAAUAACCGACCGAUUGGGGUGGUUUUCAACGGUAGAGAGGUUUCCAAAUGCCGCGGCGGGGAAUUGGGAAGAGGCGACGACAGGGAGGGUUGCCAGCUUGUAAUGGCCGCCGAUAGGUUAUUUGGGUGUUGCUCGCCGCUAGCCCAUCGACGGCGCGUCGGUGGCGGGCGGAGCAGUAGGCCGACAACUGCAGCUGGGGGAGGAGGGAGGAUUCGGUUCACCGGUUGGACCGUCGGUUUAAACUGUCCGAUCCUGGUUCAAUGCUAUUCCGUUCUAAUUGACCGGAUCGGACCGGAACCAUGACCCGCCUACAGUCGGACCGGGAGGUCCGAUUUUUUAAAUCAUAUCCGGAUUUAUUUUAAAAUCACGCUAAAAACGUUCAAAUCACGUGUGUUUUGGUUUUUCCCUCUGCACUGCACUGCAUCAGUGAGCUAUCUAAUCACCUUUUGUAAGCAUUGACGUCAUCAUUUUAAUCAUUGUUUCCUUCUUCCAACAAAAUUACAGGAUGGAGACAUAUGUCUCUUUUCCUAGUUCCUAUUUCCUACUGCUAUAUAAACAGAAAUGGUCGACCUCAUAACACUCAUCGAACUCCCAUGGCAACUAAGAAAAUGGGUAUGUUCAAGCCUCAGGUCCACCGGCCACAUUUUGUGGGGACAGUCUUCUUACCGAACAAACCAUGCAUCCCCAGUAGCAGUCGGCCUUCAUUUUCCGUAAGGCCAUGGCCACAACCCCAGAAAAAAUAUAGGAAUAAUAUCAGGGUUGGCUAUUUCCCCAGCAACAUUAAAGCAGUAGCAGUAGCAAGUGGAACCAAGACUUCCAUUUCUGUCGAGGCAACUGCAGGAGUUACCCUGAAAUCACCAAACUUGCUUGGUGGGUCACUCCUUUUAGAGCUUGUUAGUGCAGAGCUUGAUCCUCGUAAGUAUUUUGUCAUUUAACUUAUCAAUUUUGUAUAUGAAAUCGAGUAAAACUGAACUGCUGCAGUUUUCUGCAGUGACCAUCCAAUUGCAGGCCUUGUUUGGUUGCGGUGUUGUCACUUUCUUUUUUUUUCUUUUUUUAAAUCAGUCAAGAAGAUAAAAUUUUAAGCAGAAUGGAGAAAAAAAAAAAAAGGUGCAUUACAGAGGCUAAUAAUGCAAGGGAGGAUUUGAGUCUUCCUGACCAUGUGUUUAAUUACCCUAAUGUUUUGUUUGUUUGCUGAGAAAAUAAAGUAGAACACCCAAAAAAAUAUCUGAAUUUUUUUAUUUCCUACACUUUCUCGUCUUGAAUUUUAAAAUUGGGUGAAUCAUGAAACCAUACAUCAACCCCCCACCCAAAAAAAAAAGUAAGUUUUUAAAACUUUGUUUUUGACUUUUCAAUUCAAGUGCAAAAUAGGAAAAAAAAUUACCCAACCCACCGUCCGCCUCUCCCUCCCCAUCGAAACCGGCCGAGACCUUGCCGGCGUCAGCACCGGCCGCCACUCACAGCCCUCUCCGGCCGGCAGCCUCCCCUCUCUCUCUCUCUCUCUCCCUUUCCCCUCCCUCUUUCUUUCCCUUUCCUUUCCUUCUUUCUCUCUCUUCCCUUCCCUUUCCACAUCACCACAGCCACCAAUGCCAGCGACCCACUGCUGUUGCCCAGUCGGAGAGAGCCGUGCGCUCUCGGCGAUGACGCCGGCAAGGUGGCGGCAGAUUUGGGUCGGGAGGGAGAGGCAGGAGGGUAAUUUUGGAAAAAAAAAUAGAAUUACUGUCUUAAGUGUACGAAAGGGCUUUUUUUUUUUUCCAUUUUACGUUUAAAUUGAAAAGUCAAAAACAAAGUUGCAGAAACUUGCUCGUAAAUUUUAAACUUGAUCCAUGGAGCACUGAUAUUUUCAUUAAUGAUUUUGCAAAGAGACGGGAUCACAGAAGAAGCCAAUUAACGCGAAUGCGCACCUAGUAGGCCCAAAGGGUGCUAUUUUGGAGGCAGAAUUUGUGAUUCCUGGUGACUUUGGGGAGAUUGGUGCAGUUCUAGUGCAGAGUGAACACUCCAGUGAGAUCUACCUCCAGCAUAUAAUCCUCGAUGGCCUCCCAAAUGGUCCUAUUAGAUUCCACUGCUGUUCAUGGAUUGAACCCAAAGCUGAUCAUUCUGGGAAGAGGAUUUUUUUCUCCAACAAGGUUAGCCACCAUCUUCUACUCUUUUCAUCAGAUCGUAACUCGUAAGCAUAUCAAUACUUCGCAUUAUUUACAUGUAAUUAAAUAGGCAAGUUUUUGUUUCGAUAGACUUGUUUUGGAAACCACUAUCAAGGUAAAUCUUUUAAAAAUUUUUAUAUUUUAUAUAAACAUUAUUAUAAUAUUUUAGUUUUCAACAUGGGAAACAGGAACUGUACAAACAAUGGAUUCUAUGGUUAUUAUCCUAGCUUUAGAUAAUAUUUCAUAAUUUUAUCAAGGAUCGAUAGGUAAGUAUUCAUUUGGAUAGACAUUUUAAUUUUUUUUAAAAUAAAAAGUAAUAAUAAAUUUUAUAUAAAAAGUCAUAUAGGUUUUCUUUAUGUUAUUAAAAAACCUACAUUUUUAUAAAGUUUACAUUCACGUAGUAAAAAAUUUUUGACAAGUCAAUUUUUUUAAACCGUCCCUAAAACCAUUACAUUUUCAAUAUAAGCCUUUGAAAAUUUUCAAUUAAAUAUAACAUAUAAAAAUAAAAAGUUUUGUGGACGAAAUUUUCUACUAUCAAAUAAAUAAAUUUUGACUUCUCAUUUUAAUGAAAUAACUCAUCUUUUUAUUUACUUUUAUAAUCAACUAAUUCUUGAUAACAUGACACUUUUUAUAUAUAUACCACCAACACACUGAACACUUUAUCAUAACACCCAUCUUCAACCUAUUUCUGAAGUCAACACUUAAGCAUAGUAGAAUCAUUUCAACCGCAUUUGCUUAACUCCAUAAAAUACAUUCUAUAUCUUUUAGUAGUGGCAUUCUAAAAUUUGGACAAUAUAUUGUAACAUCAAAUUAAAAUUUUCACUUCAUAUACAUUUUUUUCUUCUCUAUUCAAAAACACUUUGAUCCUACUAGCAUCAUGACUCAAUAUUGUUAAUGUCAAGAGUCUUAUUCACCCUUGUGAGAACUGUUACUCAUUUUUGUUCAUAUUUAAGAGAAAAAGAACUUGAUAGUUUGCGAGGCAAUGAUGAAGGAGAGCACAAGACCUCUAAUAGGAUCUAUGAUUAUGAUGUAUAUAAUGAUCUGGGUGACCCUAGCAAGCCUGAAUUGGUGAGACCGGUGCUUGGUGAUAGCAAACAAUACCCAUACCCUAGACGAUGUGGAAUUGGAUGUCUACGGUAUAAGACUGGUAUGAAAGUUAGAAUUGAACUUUCUCUUUUUUAAUAAGGAGCUAAUCAAAUCUUAGGGUGUCCUACAAUCAUGUAGCGCAACAAAUUUGAAAGAUAAGAGUACAAAUUUAAAAUAUUAAUGCUCAUAUAAUUAUAUUUAUGUUUAUAGAGAAAUAUGGAACUAUUAAAUUUUUUUAUUAUAUUAUUGAAUUUCAUUUGUAGAAACUACCAGUCUUUGGUUCCAAUGUGAAACUAUUGUUGUUGUCUAAUGGUAGAAGCUCUUAUGCUACUUAUUAUGCUAUUAAUUAAGCACAUCAAAUAACUAAUGUGGAUCAACAAAUCAUUUCUAUCUCCAUGAUGAGAUAAAGAUUCAGACAUACAUCAUUCAUGCACAUUCAAGAUUUACAAUUGAUACAAUAUUAAAGUAUCAUUCCUAGCAUCACACCCUAAGUUUAAACCCUUGACUAGACUCAUUUCUUCAUGCAUUGUAUGAGUUAAGAAACAAAGGCACAUAGUGUGUUCUAUUGUAUUGAUGUUUCCCUUCUCUCUUAGUAAAAUUUCAUGAGAUUUCAUAUAGAAUGUUAUUGAGAUACAGGGAUUCUAAACCUCUCAUUAUUUUCCAGUUUUAUAAGAAAUUUUAAUAACAAAAUGAAUCCUAAAAGGAUCUUGUCAUAUAUAAGGUUUCAAAAUCAACAAAAAUAAAAAUAAAAAAAAUCUUAGAGGAUAAAGCUAAAGUAUCGUAGCGGUAUCUACUUAAUAAAAGAUUCAGACCAUUGAAUAUAUAUGGUAACAUUUAGGUCAUUGAACAAUACAAAUAAAUAAAAAAUGGGAUCAAGGUAUAAGGGUACAAACAAUAAGACGUAAAAAUGUACAAGUGGCACCAUCUGAUUGGUUGUCAUUUCGAUAGAUGCUAAAAAAGUAGUAAUUAAUUCCUGAUCAGAUGCUUAUUCUAACUUAUAAUACAAUGCUCAAAGCAAUUGAGAGGAGGCACAUGACAAAAAUAUUUAAUCAGGAACUGUAUCAUUCUCAUUUGAUCGAAUAAGAAAUUACCAUGAUCCAUGCAGAUCCUCAUUCAAAGACAAGGAGUAACAGCUUCUAUGUGCCAAGGGAUGAAAAAUUCUCUGACGUGAAGGAGAAAUCAUUUAGAAGAAAGACAAUAGUAUGUGGGUGGCUCACGACAAUUGCGCAUUUAAACAGUCCAACAAAUGGUGAAUUUCUACAUUCAUCAGAUAUAGUCAAAUUAUACUAUGAAGGAAUCAACAUGAGCAGUCCUGUGAAUCGAGGAUUUUGGCAACGGGUUUGGAACCUCCUGCUUAACGUUAAAGAUGAUUUCCUGAAAUUUAAACCCCCUGCACUGUUUCUCAGUAAGAAAAAACCUUCAAACCCCCGCCUCCUCUCUUGAUCUUUCUCACUUACAAACUGAAGUCAUUUUGCAUUUGCAGAGGACAAGUUUUCUUGGUUGUGGGAUGAAGAAUUCUCACGCCAAACUCUUGCCGGUGUUAACCCAUGUAGUAUAAAGUUGGUUUCGGUAUGAUAAGCAACUUCUUUUGAUCAUAUAUUAAUACGAGGCAUUGGUCUGCUUGUUAUACGUUUAUGAUUUAUUCUUAAUGAAUAACUUAAAUAUUUAGUGCAAACAGUACCUCAAUGGGAUAGCAAAGGUAUAUAUAUAUGGUUUUCAUUUAUUUCAUAAGUUAGUAUUUUUAUUUUUUUAUUUUUAUUUUUUUGCCAUUUUGCCAAAAGCCACACAGUUGUCUGCCGGAGGUUAACAAAUCUUGUUAGAUUAUGAAGCCAAAAUUAAUCUUAUUAUUCUAUGCAAGAGAUGUUUGGGGUCUAGUUCUCCACUAAGCUCAUAGGAUUUUAGCUGGCGGAUCAAAGCAUAGGUUUUUAACGAGGCAGUGACCUUAGGAAAAUUUUUUGAUGUAUCAAAUAAUGAGUUUACCCUUAUUGUGUUUUUAACCCUCUUAUGAUUUAGAAUUUCGUUUAACAGUGUGCUGCAUUUAAGAGGAAAGGAAGAAUUUUCAUCAUUGCAACCUUUCUCUUUCAUUUGAUUUGUGGAUUUUUAAGUGUUGAUAUACUUUAUGGAUGUGAAGUUCACAUUAAUUGUUGAACCAUGUUAAAAAUUUCUUAUGUUUUCUUUAUUUCUCCUUGUGUGUGUGAUUUGGGUAACAAACCCAUCACUUUGCAUCUAUGCAUAUAGAUAUAAACAUCAAUAAGAGGCAGUGAACAUUAAUAAGAUUGUACACAAAUGAUACUCCAUGAUAUUAUAAUCCAUAAAAUCGUGCAGGAGUGGCCAUUAAAGAGCACACUAGACCCUGAUGUCUAUGGUCCUCCUGAGUCGGCAAUCACCACAGAGUUGGUCGAGCGAGAGAUAAAAGCCUUCAUGACUAUUGACGUGGUACCUACUUUUCUCCUUCUCUUUCUCUCUCUCCUUUAUCAAUCUCCCAAGAAUUAAGUUGUCUAAAUUUGGGAACAUGAAAGCAGGCAUUAGAACAAAAGAAACUAUUCAUCAUAGAUUACCACGACUUGUUUUUACCAUAUGUGAGCAAAGUGAGGCAGAUGGAAGGGACAACACUGUAUGGUUCCCGGGCACUUUUUUUCCUAACCCCUGAUGGCACCUUGAAGCCUCUAGCCAUCGAGCUCACUCGCCCACCAAUAGAGGGGAAGCCACAGUGGAAGCAAGUUUUCACUCCCACAUCGGAAUCUACAGGUCGCUGGCUUUGGAGGUUCGCCAAAGUCCAUUUCCUUGCUCAUGACUCCGGUUAUCAUCAGCUUGUUAGUCACUGGUACAUGCCAUUGCCUUUGAUUUCGUUUUUUUGAGUAAUAGGUUUUUAUUUUGCCAGACCUGUCAAACUGAUUCCUCGGAUUUGCUGGACGAAGAGUUGGACAACUUUAUGAAUGCCAAUCAAAUAGCUUUGUUCAAUGUUGUAGGUUGAGAACUCAUUGUGUAACAGAACCUUACAUAAUUGCAACAAAUCGGCAACUCAGUGUAAUGCACCCCAUCUACAGACUAUUGCAUCCUCAUUUCCGGUACACAAUGCAUAUCAAUGCUCUUGCUCGAGAAAGUCUCAUCAAUGCCGAUGGGAUCAUUGAGACUUCAUUCUCACCCGGCAAGUAUUCUGUGGAGCUUAGCUCAGUAGCUUAUGACCAGCAGUGGCGGUUUGAUAAGGAAGCCCUGCCGGCAGACCUAAUAAACAGGUAUGAUUUGAAAAGCAUAAUAAUGGAUGAUGUAAAUCAAAGCCCCAUUUAUACUUAUUGAAAUUAUGUGUUACGCCCCAACUAGUAUACUAGUUCAUGGCUUAAAUUCGAAGUCCUUAUUUCUUGUUACUAAGUUCUCUCUUGCUCAUGGUUUCCCUCUCAAUUUUGCAUUACGCUCUCAGUUGGUAAUUGCCUCUUGAGUAAAUGUUGGUACCUUGACAUACAAUGCCGAUUGAUAUCCAAACCCCCUUAAAUUUUAUUUUUGAAUUUCUCUCAAAAGAGAUGCACUUCUACGCUUGCCAGCAAACCUAAUAAACAGGUAUGAUCUGAUAAGUAUGGUAAUGGAUGAUGUAAAUCAAAGUGCCCCAUAAAUACUUAUUGAAGUGUAGAGGGCUAGUUAAUAUAUAGUUGCUGGAAAGUGCCCUGGCUGACUCUUUGGUUUCGUAAUUGCCAGGGGCAUUGCUGUUGAGGAUCCAGAUGCUCCCCAUGGCCUAAAGCUACUGAUCGAAGACUAUCCUUUUGCCAAUGAUGGUCUAGUCCUUUGGGAUGCCUUAAAACAAUGGGUUGCAGACUAUGUCAACUACUACUACAAGGAUGCGAACAUGGUACAGUCUGAUCCAGAGCUCCAAGCAUGGUGGACGGAAAUCCAAACCAAAGGUCAUGAGGAUAAAAAAGAUGAACCAUGGUGGCCAAACCUCCAAACACCCAACGACCUCAUUGGAAUUAUCACAACAAUAACUUGGGUGGCCUCUGGUCACCAUUCCGCAGUCAACUUUGGACAAUAUGCUUUUGCUGGUUACUUCCCCAAUAGGCCUUCCAUUGCUAGAACCAAUAUGCCCUGUGAAGAACCAACAGAAGAAGGAUGGCAACGAUUUUUAGAC
rnacentral:lncRNA from 1 species